GAUCAAAGUGUAGUAUCUGUUCUUAUCAGCUUAAUAUCUGAUACGAUCCCCAUUGGGGAUCUUCGAUAUUAAACUGAUUUUUGGAACUGGGAGAAGAUGUAGGAGCUUGCUCCAACUUCUCCACNGGUUNGC
rnacentral:snRNA from 1 species